rnacentral:rRNA from 1 species
UACAGGGGGUGCAAGCGUUAAUCGGAAUUACUGGGCGUAAAGCGUGCGUAGACGGUUAUUUAAGUCAGGUGUGAAAGCCCAGGGCUCAACCUUGGAAUUGCAUUUGAGACUGAAUAGCUAGGGUGCGGAAGAGGGAAGCGGAAUUUCCGGUGUAGCGGUGAAAUGCGUAGAUAUCGGAAGGAACACCAGUGGCGAAAGCGGCUUCCUGGUCCAGCACCGACGUUCAGGCACGAAAGCGUGGGGAGCAAACAGG